UAUUUCAUUGAGACUUCGGUGGAUUUGAUCUAUUUCUAGUGGCGGACGGGUGAGUAACGCGUGGGUAACCUGCCUUAUACAGGGGGAUAACAGUCAGAAAUGGCUGCUAAUACCGCAUAAGCGCACAGAGCUGCAUGGCUCAGUGCGAAAAACUCCGGUGGUAUAAGAUGGACCCGCGUUGGAUUAGCUAGUUGGUGGGGUAACGGCCCACCAAGGCGACGAUCCAUAGCCGGCCUGAGAGGGUGAACGGCCACAUUGGGACUGAGACACGGCCCAGACUCCUACGGGAGGCAGCAGUGGGGAAUAUUGCACAAUGGGGGAAACCCUGAUGCAGCGACGCCGCGUGAAGGAAGAAGUAUCUCGGUAUGUAAACUUCUAUCAGCAGGGAAGAUAGUGACGGUACCUGACUAAGAAGCCCCGGCUAACUACGUGCCAGCAGCCGCGGUAAUACGUAGGGGGCAAGCGUUAUCCGGAUUUACUGGGUGUAAAGGGAGCGUAGACGGUGUGGCAAGUCUGAUGUGAAAGGCAUGGGCUCAACCUGUGGACUGCAUUGGAAACUGUCAUACUUGAGUGCCGGAGGGGUAAGCGGAAUUCCUAGUGUAGCGGUGAAAUGCGUAGAUAUUAGGAGGAACACCAGUGGCGAAGGCG
rnacentral:rRNA from 1 species